GAUAAGGAAGAGGAAAGGAGCAGAGAAGGGAUAGUCUUCCCGUUCUGCUCAGUGUGUAUGUGUUGGGGUGCAUGAAGCUGUAGACCACUGCACUGAUGGAGAAGAGGGAGAGGAAGCCUGGCUACUUUGCCAGGCUGAAGAGACGGAGACAGCUCAAGCAGAGCCAAUCAGGGAAGUCAGUGGCUGAGCAGAACCGGGCGGAUUCUUCCGCAAAGAUGCCCGUCAUCUCCUGCCCAGACCCUGCUUUUUCUGAACCCCUGGAGAGGAUAAAACCUAACCUGCCUGGAGGCUCAGGUAAAACUUUGUCAUGAAGUUGGCCUGAUGGGGGGGAAGUUUAUGACCCCCAUAAAUACCUUUCCCCUUUUCUCUCUCCCUACUCUACAGAGUGACUCUUGGAAAGUCCUUUGUUAACAUAGAGAGAGUCUUAUAACAUCAAAAGGGUGGGGAAAGGAACCAUAUUUCGGUAAUCCAACCAGCUGAAAAUAUGUGUUGGUUCUUAUAGAAUAUAAUGCCAGAUCAGUUGUCAUCUGAGACACUAUUACUAAUGAAAGGAUGACAUAAACUGUAUCUUGAAAAGUCUACACAUUAUAAUUAUCAGAUUCACAUGGAAUUGUUGUGCAAUUUAAAUGUUUAAAUAUGAAACUAUUUGUGAAAAGAUGAAAUGUAAUUUAGCUUCUUAAUGAGAGUACGGUUUGUCAUAGAGUAAACUCUGCCAACUCUGUGGCCCCGCCCAUGUGAACAGGCACUGGGUGUAAACUAUGAAACACGGCCCUCUCUCCCAAUCCAAUAUAAGCCCCUUGACGAGAAUGUAACUUUCUGUUCCGAGGACGUUAGGGCGACGGUCCUGCGUUAAAAGGGCUCAGAUAAUAACCUGUUCCAAGGACAUGUGGACUUGAGGUCCCCACGUUGAAAGGACAAAGACCACCUACAGAACUAAGCCAACCUUAGAGAACCUUGCAUCGAAUUUCAAUGUGAAGGUGACCACCUACAAGCCGGAAGGAUGAAUUUCGACGAUACCAGCCAGAAUAUAGCAUGAGCUUAACCUGAUAUGGAUAGGGGGCAGUAUUUUCACGGCCGGAUGAAAAAACAUAGCCGAUUUUUUUUUUUAAACUGGUUACUACUCUUGCCCAGAAACGAGAAUAUGCAUAUUAUUAGCAGAUUUGGAUAGAAAACACUCUGAAGUUUCUAAAACUGUUUGAAUGGUGUCUGUGAGUAUAACAGAACUCAUAUGGCAGGCAAAAACCUGAGAAAAAUGUAACCAGGAAGUGUAGGAUCUGAGAAAUGUAGUUCUUCUUUCUAGUCCCUUUCGAAACUACAGAAUCUGUGCUGUCACAUUGCACUUUCUAAGGCUUCCAUUGGCUGUCUAAAGCCUUCGGAAAGUGUUUUGAGCAUUCCCCUGUCACUGGGCAGGAUAUAGUAGCUCAGUUUCUGAGUGGACUGCCUGGGGACAAAGAGAUUGGAUAUGCGCGUUCCCGUGAGCACACUGUUUUUUCUUUUCCUCCUUGAAUGAAUACACUAUUGUCCGGUUGGAAUAUUAUCGCAAUUUUACGUUAAAAAUACCAUAAAAAUUGAUUUUAAAUAGCGUUUGACAUGCUUCUAAGUACGGUAAUGGAACAUUUUGACUUUUUGUCUCAAUGCGUUUGCGCGUUACCUUUUGGAUAGUGACCUGAACGCACCAACAAAACGGAGGUAUUUGGACAUAACUAUGGAUUAUUUUGAACAGAAACAACAUUUCAUAGAGAAUCAGACAAACAUGUAGCCUACACUCUUUGCAUACUCAAGCCUGUCUCAAAAUAUAACACUGCCCCUUUAAAUCUAUCCUGGAGGAUGGAUGGCCACCCUUGGUAGCCUGUAAAAUAUUGCAGCAUUACAAUUACAACCAAAUACUUUUUAGUCUUUUUAUAAAAUAAUUAAGGGUGUAAAAAAUAUGUCUAGGAUGAUUCAAAACACUCUGGAACUGUUACGACAGUCAAAAUUCAUACAACCACUGCAUAUAUACAGUUGAAGUCGGAAAUUUACAUACACAUAGGUUGGAGUCAUUAAAACUCGUUUUUCAACCACUCCACAAAUUUCUUGUCAACAGCCUAUGGUUUUGGCAAGUCUGUUAGGAAAUCUACUUUGUGCAUGACACAAGUAAUUUUUCCAACAAUUGUUUACAGACAGAUUAUUUAACUUAUAAUUCACUGUAUCACAAUUCCAGUGGGUCAGAAGUUUACAUACACUAAGUUGACUGUGCCUUUAACCUCUCUUGGGUAGGGGGCAGUAUUUUCACGUCCGGAUGAAAAGCGUGCCCAAAGUAAACUGCCUGUUACUCAGGCCCAGAAGUUAGGAUAUUCAUAUAGAUUUGGAUAGUAAACACUCUAAAGUUUCUAAAACUGUUAAAAUUAUGUCUGUGAGUAUAACAGAACUGAUGUGGCAGGCGAAACCCCGAGGACAAACCAUCCCCCCCAAAAAAUAAAAUUCUGCUGACCACUGUUUUCAAUGGCUGUCACUUUUAUUAUAAGGCGAAAUCCUCCCAGAUGGCAGUUCCUAGGGCUUCCACUAGAUGUCAACAGUGUUUAGAAAGAGUUUCAUGCUGGUUUUUGGAAAAAUUAGCCAGAAAUUGUAGUUUUUCUAGGUGGCUCCCAUUUUGGCUGUAGUGUUUCCAAGCGUGAGGAAGAGAGCGAGUCCUUUGGUAUUUUUCUCCGGUGAAGACACUAACGAUUCUCCGUCUUAAAUUGUAUUGUUUAUUUACGUAUUAGGGUACCUAAGGUUUGAUUAUAAAUGUUGUUUGACUUGUUUGGAAAAGUUUAUUAGUAACGUUUGGGAUUCAUUUUGUAUGCAUUUUGAUGGAGGGAAACUGGGUGGAUUAUUGACUGAAGCGCGCCAGCUAAACUGAGUUUUUAUGGAUAAUAAAGAAGGACAUUAUCGAACAAAAGGACCAUUUGUGAUGUAACUGGAACCUUUUGGAGUGCCAACAGAAGAUCAUCAAAGGUAAGGCAUUUAUUAUAUCGCUAUUUCUGACUUUUGUGGCGCACUGCCUGUUUGAAAUAUGUUUUUCAUGCUUUUGUAUGCGGGGCGUUGUCCUCAGAUAAUCGCAUGGUGUGCUUUCGCCGUAAAGCCUUUUUGAAAUCUGACACAUCGGCUGGAUUAACAAGAAGUUAAGCUUUAUUUUGAUGUAUUACACUUGUGAUUUUAUGAAAGUUAAAUAUUUAUAAUACUGUAGUUUGAAUUUUGCGCUCUGCAAUUUCACCGGAUGUUGGCCAGGUGGGACUCUACCAUCCCACCUGCCCAUAAGAAGUUAAACAGCUUGGAAAAUUCCAGAAAAUGAUGUCAAGGCUUUAGAAGCUUCUGAUAGGCUAAUUGACAUCAUUUGAGUCAAUUGGAGCUGUACCUGUGGAUGUAUUUCAAGGCCUACCUUCAAACUCAGUGUCUCUUUGCUUGACAUCAUGGGAAAAUCAAAAGAAAUCAGCCAAGAACUCAGGAAAAAAAAAAUUGUAGACCUCCACAAGUCUGAUUCAUCCUUGGGAGCAAUUUCCAAACGCCUGAAGGUACCACGUUCAUCUGUACAAACAAUAGUACGCAAGUAUAAACACCAUGGGACCACAUAGCCGUCAUACUGCUCAGGAAGGAGAUGCGUUCUGUCUCCUAGAGAUGAACUUACUUUGGUGAAAAAAGUGCAAAUCAUCGCAAAGGACCUUGUGAAGAUGCUGGAGGAAACAGGUACGAAAGUAUCUAUAUUCGCAGUAAAACGAGUCCUGUAUCCACACAACCUGAAAGGCCGCUUAGCAAGGAAGAAGCCACUGCUCCAAAACCGCCAUAAAAAAGCCAGACUACGGUUUGCAACUGCACAUGGGGACAAAGAUUGUACUUUUAGGAGAAAUGUCCUCUGGUCUGAUGAAACAAAAAUAUAACUGUUUGGCCAUAAUGACCAUCGUUAUGUUUGGAGGAAAAAGGGGGAGGCUUGCAAGCCGAAGAACACCAUCCCAACCGUGA
rnacentral:lncRNA from 8 species